rnacentral:lncRNA from 1 species
UGGGCCACAGAGCAGGACUCUGUCUCAAAAAACAAACAAACAAACAAACAAAAAAACAGUUAUCGGGACAGGCGUCUAAACUUGAAUGAAUUGGAAUACAUUUCAUUUGUGCCAAGCACCAAUCACAUGGAUGAAGACAGGAAUUUCAGUAUCAUUGGCUUCUGUCCUUUAGGAACUACCAGCUUUAUUUUGCUUUGGUCUGUAUCUUCCUCAGCUAACAAACGUAGGGGGUGGGAAAUACAGUUCAUUUAUGUUACUACAAAUGAAAGGUAUGACGGGUCUCCUCAGAUCACCGUCAUGCAAAAUGCUGACCAAAAUCCCGUAUGAGGACUUCGGAACAGCUGGGCUCGGCUCUCUGGGCCACGAUUUGCUGGUCCGUGAAAUGAGAGGGAGGCUGGAUCACUAGCUCUUUAACGGUCUUCCAGCUCUAGAUUCUUAUGAGUCUAUGACUUUUACAAAGUGGCAGAUGAUUUCUGUUAGGUGCCAGUUAAAUUACUUUAACACGGCAGUUAGUGAUGUAGGAACUGGUGUAGAGUGAGCACAGCUUUUGUUUUUUUCAAUUUGGAUUCAUUCAUGAUGGAGUCUGAAGAUGUUUCUCAGGUUUAAAAGAUAGUUUUCCUUCAGUGGUAGUAUCAGUUACUAGGCUGUGACCUUUUGGAAUGAAUGUAGCCUCUAACAUCUUCCUAUAUGUGGUUAAGAAAAGGGACUUAGCCAACAGGACGGUGGCAGACAGCCUCAAGAAAAGCCUCAAACUUCGUCCACUUAGGGCAACAUCUCUAACUCCCAAAUUCACUGCUGACAUACUCAGUGAAAGGAGAAAGCCACUUCAGGUUGGUCCCAAGAUAUCUGACAAAUGCGACGCUCUCUUUAUUUUCACAUUCGCUUGUGGACAAAACCAGCUACCUGUGAACUCUCCAUUCUCUCCAGGAAAACGACUCUGUGCAGUCCACUGUCUCUUUCCUAAGCAUUUAUCACAGUGACCUCCAGCGCCAGUGUUUCCAGAGAGUGACAGGUGGUUACAAGUCCUCCCUGCCUUCCCUCCUUAAAGGGAGCAGCAGCUUGGCAGUGAGUAUGCUGGCACCUUUGAGUGGUGGGAACCAGUCUCCCCUACACAAGAAGCUGUAAGGCAUCUUUAUGAGUUGAAAACAAAACAACCGAUGUUUCAUGUAUAGAAAAUAGCAAGUAAAGGCCGGGCGCAGUGGCUCAUGCCUGUCAUCCCAGCACUUUGGGAGGCCGAGGCGGGCGGAUCACGAGGUCAGGAGAUCGAAACCAUCCUGGCUAACAUGGUGAAACCCGGCCUCUACUAAAAAUACAAAAAGUUAGCCGGGCGUGGUGGCGGGCGCCUGUAGUCCCAGCUACUCGGGAGGCUGAGGCAGGAGAAUGGCAUGAACCCGGGAGGCGAAGGUUGCAGUGAGCCAAGAUCGUGCCACUGCACUCCAUCCUGGGCAACAGAGCAAGACUCUGUCUCAAAUAAAAAAAAAAAAAAGAAAAAAGAAAAUAGCAAGUAAGAUCAGUUUCAACACCAUGCUCAGUGAAGUCACCAGACUGUUUAUGUUGAAUCACCAUAAAGCUAACAAGCAGAAACAUGAACCUUAGCUUUUCAAGCGAUCAAACCCCUGUCGGCAAAUGGUAAGGCCAAAUGAAAAACACGGGGCCUGGUUUACACAAACUUCCCCUCAUCCUUCAAAAGUCUCGAAUCAGCUGUUUCCUUCUCUAAGAAGGUUUCCAGGUCUGCCUUUGGGUUUGGGUAACGAGGCUGUUGUUUUCUCAUUUGUAUGUUUCUCCACCAGACUGUUAGGUCCUAGAAACAAGGACUGUGUCUUUUCAUUUUGUACCCCAAGUGAGGCUGGCACAUUCUGAGGGUGCAAUACAUGUUUCAUACUUUCCAAAGCUCAUACCUGUUGAGUACUUACUGUUUGCUAGGUCCUAUGUCAGAUGUUUUGUCUACAUUGUCUCAUUAAAUCCUCACAACAGAUGUUAUUCUCACUCUGUGUGUGUGUGUGUGUGUGUGUGUUUGUGUGUAUCAGCAAAAUGAGACUCAGACCAGAGCAAUUUAAAAAUCGCCCCAGGUCACACUGCUGGUGGCGAGCUGGGAUUCAAACUCAGUACUUUCUGCCUUUAGUUCCAUGUGCCGGAUGACUAUACUGCCUUCAAGCCUGAUAAGCAAGGAGGGAAUAAUAAUCUUUCACAAUAUAGUUUCUGAUGAAUACUGUUCCUAAUUAUUUACUCAUAAAUUUGUAUGGUGAAUUGAUGGGCUCUGAUGCUGCCAUGAACAGUAUUCUCUGUUUAUAUGUAACUUUACAAAUUUUCAAAGCACUUUCACGUGUAGUAGCUCACCUGGGUCUCAAAAUAACCCAGUGAGGUUGGCUAAACCUGUUAUUUCCAUGUUACACAUGAAGAAAGCGAAGUGCAGGAUGGGCCGCUGACUCACCACCCUGUGAAGGGACAAGGCUCAGGUUAGAACCUGUUCCAGGGUAAUUUCCACUACUCCAGGCUGUGGGGCUGGGUUUCACCAGUUUGUCAUUACACUGCUUGUGUGGGUUUCCAGAGUGAAAUUUGGGCUACUUAAUGCCAACGUAAAACUCACUUACCAAAUGUAGACUGUCGCCCCCUUGAACAGAGAAUUUAUAAAGCUCCCCAUUCUAAAGGGCUACGGAGGGAUUUUUCUGCCAUGAAAGCAUGUGGGCCUGCCUUUCCAUCUCCUCUCCCCCAUUCCUCUGGACCCCACUCGCUAUCAUUAAGGAAUAGGACACAGGGACUCUCCCCAUAUCUGUUUCCUGGUUUCUUCAGCCUUAAAUGGAAAAUACCGUAUUUACUUGUAAAAUACUUUGUGAGUUCUCAAGUGAAUGCCAUUAAGAUAUGUGAUGUGUGGGCAACUACCCUUGAUCGAGGACCUUUUCCUCCUAUCUGGGAAAAUCAUGUACAUGAGAAAGAAGUGAGAUCACACGUGAAGCGCCUCCACGUAGUGAGCUCCCGAACCAAAAGGGAACUUAGGGGUCUCUGUCCGCUCAUCCACUUUAAAAAUCCUAACACAGCCUGGGCACAGCAGCUCACAACGGUAAUCCCAGCACUUUGGGAUCCGUCCAAGGUGGGUGGAUCACUUGAGCCCAGGAGUUGGAGACCAGCCUGGACAACAUGGCAAAACCCUGUCUCUCAAAAAAAAAAAAAAAAAAAGCCAGAUGGGUGGAACCCACCCCAGUAACUGUAGUCCCAGUUACGCAGGAGGCCGAGAUGGGAGGACUGCUUGAGCCUGGGAGACAGAGGUUGCAAUGAUCCCAGAUUGUGCCACUGUACUGCAGUCUGGGCGACAGAGCAAGAACCUGUCUCAAAUAAAUAAAUAAAUACCCUAACAGAGAAAAUGGACAUCUGUUCUGAAGUAAAAGUUACUUUGUGUAGACCCAUACUUCAUUUCCACAGUAGGGACCAUUGAAGCAGAGAGAGGGCAGGAAGGACAAAAGGAGAAUGAAGAAAUAGGAAGAGACAUAGAAAGAUACGGCACAGGGGGUGGGCACGUGGGCACGGUGGCUCCUGCCUAUUAUCCCAGCACUUUAGGAGGCCGAGGCGGGA